rnacentral:rRNA from 1 species
UUAAGCAUAUCAAUAAGCGGAGGAAAAGAAACCAACAGGGAUUGCCCCAGUAACGGCGAGUGAAGCGGCAACAGCUCAAAUUUGAAAUCUGGCCCCCCGGCCCGAGUUGUAAUUUGGAGAGGAUGCUUCUGGCGCGGCGCCGUCCGAGUUCCUUGGAACAGGACGCCACAGAGGGUGAGAGCCCCGUACGGACGGACGCCUAGCCUCUACGAAGCUCCUUCGACGAGUCGAGUAGUUUGGGAAUGCUGCUCAAAAUGGGAGGUAAAUUUCUUCUAAAGCUAAAUACCGGCCAGAGACCGAUAGCGCACAAGUAGAGUGAUCGAAAGAUGAAAAGCACUUUGAAAAGAGGGUUAAAAAGUACGUGAAAUUGUUGAAAGGGAAGCGCCUGUGACCAGACUUGCGCCCCGCGGACCACCCGGCGUUCUCGCCGGUGCACUCUGCGGUGCGCAGGCCAGCAUCGGUUCUCCCAGGGGGACAAAGGCCGCGGGAACGUAGCUCCUUCGGGAGUGUUAUAGCCCGCGGCGGCAUGCCCCUGGGGGGACCGAGGACCGCGCUUCGGCAAGGAUGCUGGCGUAAUGGUCACCAGCGACCCGUCUUGAAACACGGACCAAGGAGUCAAGCAUUGGGGCGAGUGUAUGGGUGCCAAACCCGCACGCGAAAUGAAAGUAAACGCAGGUGAGAGCUUCGGCGCAUCAUCGACCGAUCCUGAUGUCUUCGGAUGGAUUUGAGUAAGAGCCUUACCGCUUGGACCCGAAAGAUGGUGAACUAUGCCUGAAUAGGGUGAAGCCAGAGGAAACUCUGGUGGAGGCUCGCAGCGGUUCUGACGUGCAAAUCGAUCGUCAAAUUUGGGCAUGGGGGCGAAAGACUAAUCGAACCAUCUA